rnacentral:rRNA from 1 species
GACGAGGGAUCCUAGCGUUGUUCGGAAUCAUUGGGCGUAAAGCGUGUGUAGGCGGACUUCUAAGUACCUUGUGAAAUCCCACAGCUUAACUGUGGAACUGCUUGGUAUACUGGUUGUCUUGAGGUACCUAGGGGCGAGCGGAACAAGUGGUGGAGCGGUGAAAUGCGUAGAUAUCACUUGGAACGCCAACGGUGAAAACAGCUCGCUGGGGGUAUCCUGACGCUGAGACACGAAAGCCAGGGGAGCAAACGGG